AGGAUGAACGCUAGCGACAGGCCUAACACAUGCAAGUCGAGGGGCAGCAUAAAGGUAGCAAUACUUUGGUGGCGACCGGCGCACGGGUGAGUAACACGUAUGCAACCUACCUGUAAGAGGGGAAUAACCCGGAGAAAUUCGGACUAAUACCGCAUAAUACCGUUUACCUGCAUGGGUGAAUGGUUAAACAUUUAUGGCUUACAGAUGGGCAUGCGUAUGAUUAGCUAGUUGGUGAGGUAACGGCUCACCAAGGCAACGAUCAUUAGGGGUUCUGAGAGGAAGGUCCCCCACACUGGUACUGAGACACGGACCAGACUCCUACGGGAGGCAGCAGUGAGGAAUAUUGGUCAAUGGGCGAGAGCCUGAACCAGCCAAGUCGCGUGAAGGAAGAAGGUUCUAUGGACUGUAAACUUCUUUUGUAAGGGAAUAAAAAAGGCCACGUGUGGCCUCUUGUAUGUACUUUACGAAUAAGGAUCGGCUAACUCCGUGCCAGCAGCCGCGGUAAUACGGAGGAUCCGAGCGUUAUCCGGAUUUAUUGGGUUUAAAGGGUGCGUAGGCGGACCCUUAAGUCAGUGGUGAAAGUUUGCAGCUCAACUGUAAAAUUGCCAUUGAAACUGAGGGUCUUGAGUGUAAAUAAGGUAGGCGGAAUGUGUUGUGUAGCGGUGAAAUGCUUAGAUAUAACACAGAACACCAAUUGCGAAGGCAGCUUACUGGGAUACAACUGACGCUGAGGCACGAAAGCGUGGGGGUCAAACAGGAUUAGAUACCCUGGUAGUCCACGCAGUAAACGAUGAAUACUAACUGUAUGCGAUAUACUGUAUGUGGUAAAGCGAAAGCGUUAAGUAUUCCACCUGGGGAGUACGUUCGC
rnacentral:rRNA from 1 species